rnacentral:lncRNA from 10 species
CGUGAUCCACCCGCCUCGGCCUCCCAAAGUGUUGGGAUUACAGGCGUGAGCCACCGCGCCCUGCCUCUUGCUGAGUAAAGUUCUAACCGGCCUCUAUAAACAGCUGUCUGAUCUCUUUUUGGGCUUUUUUGGUUUUUUUUUUUUUUUUUAGACGGAUUCUCGCUCUGUCACCCAGGCUGGAGUGCAGUGGUGUGAUCUCGGCUCACUGCAACCUCUGCCUCCUGGGUUCAAGCUAUUCCCCUUCCUCAGCCUCCUGAGUAGCUGGGAUUACAGCUGCCCACCACCAUGCCCAGCUAAUUUUUGUAUUUUUAGUAGAGACGGGGUUUCACCAUGCUAGUCAGGCUGGGCUCUAACUCCUGACCUCAUGAUCCGCCCCACCUCGGCCUCCCAAAGUGCUGGGAUUACAGGCAUGAGCCACUGCACCCAGCCCCUUUUCGGGCUUCUUACUCUUUUUCACCUUGCCUCAGGCCCUGAGUAGUUCCAGCUACUUUCACUUCUUCUUUACCACCUUCCCUAUUCAGUCCAUCCACUUGUGAGAGUUGUGGAGGGCAGCAGGGGAAGCAUCAGUUGUCCUACAAAACCUGACUGCACUACAGGGCAACAGUCUCUUUAGCCACUCUCCUCCAUGUUGCCCUGAAGAUUAACACUCUGGGCAUUUUUCUUCUUUUAAAUAAAAAAUAAAGGGAUGGGUGGGGGAAAAGGGAGAAAAUUUCUGCAAUACUCACUUAAGAGCAUUUAGAAAAUACUGAAAAAAAAAAUCACUUAUAGGCCGGGCUCGGUGGCCCACGCCUGUAAUCCCAGCACUUUGGGAGGCCGAGGCAGGCGGAUCACCUGAGGUCAGGGGUUCGAGAUCAGCCUGACCAACAUGGAGAAACCCCCGUCUCUACUAAAAAUACCCAAUUAGCUGGGCAUGGUGGCGCAUGCCUGUAAUCCCAGCUACUCGGGAGGCUGAGACAGGAGAAUUGCUUGAACCUGGGAGGCGGAGGUUGCAGUGAGCCAAGAUUGCAUCAUUGCACUCCAGCCUGGGCAACAGGAGCGAAACUCCAUCUCAAAAAAAAAAAAAAAUCACUUAUGUCAUGCCCACAUAAAUCCAAUCACUGCCAUCAUUUUGGUGUGUUUCCUAGACGUAGAUUAUUUUGUUUUGUUCCUUUUAUAGUUGUAAUCAUGCUGGUGAAACUGAACAAAUUAUAAAAACAAGAAGGCAGCUUAAGGGAGGCAGUUUAUGUGUGGUACAGAAAAAGCAACAGGAAAAUGUACCCAUCGUAGGCAAGGGCAUGGAAAACAGGCACUUCUUACAGUGUUGGUGGAAAUGUACAUUGGCAGAGCCUUUCUGGAGGAGAAUUUUACAGUAUCUAUCAAAAUCUUAUAGAUGCAUGACUUUGACUCCAGAAUUCUACUUAGAAUUAUCCUACAGUGUCCAACCGCACAAAUUUAGGUGAAUGCAUCAGUUGUUUUUUAAAGAAGGAAAAACUAGGCCGGGCGCAGUGGCUCACGCCUGUAAUCCCAGCACUUUGGGAGUCUGAGGCGGGCAGACUCACUUGAGGUCAGGAGUUCGACACCAGCCUGGCCAACAUGGUGAAAC